rnacentral:tRNA from 1 species
GCUCCUGUGGCGCAACUGGUAGCGCAAGUUCCUCCUAAGAACUAGGUUGCAGGUUCAAGUCCUGCCGGGGGCGCUA